UCAAAUCGCCAUUGGGUUCGAUCUUGAAUUUUGAAAAACAAGAAACUAUAGCAACUCCACAACGGUAGAGUUUGCUUAGUUAACUGAAAAUAUAAUGUCGCAAGCCUUUUGCGAUUCUUGUUAAUGGAAGCGAGAAAGAAAUCCAAAGUGAAGAGAUCUUUUCUCAUUUACCCAAGCAAGCCCAUUUGCAGAACAAAAACAGCAGAAGGAAAAUAGGGAAUGGAGGGCUCUUUGAAUUAUAUUCAUGGAGGACACCCAACUCAAGAAAGAUGUGGCCAAGAUGAGAUAACAAGGAGCAAAUAUUCAGAAGACAAAGAAUGUGUGGUUAAAUUGAUCGACGAUUUCACACACAAUUUGGUUUGAGUAAUAGUGUUUGAGUCCCAGCAAAGUUUGAAGACGAAAUUGGAUGGAGGUUUGGAUUCAGUUGGUAGCAAUGAAGAUAAUGCGCCUAAAGAUUUGGAUUGCCUCCUUGUAAAGUUGGAAAAGAGGCCCCUCUUAUUUGUAAAUGGUUGUUCAUGGGGAGAGAAGGUCCACGUAUUCCUGAAUUGUUAACAAGAGAUGCUCCUCAUCCUAUUUGUAGAUUGUUGUUCGUUUGGUAAGGAAGAGGUGGAUAUGUCUCCCUCAUUUGAUGAUUAUGGUGAGAUGGGUAUCUCUCCCUCAUUUGAUAAUUGAUAUGAUCUUUCUGUUGCUGGUUCAAAUAUGAUGUGGGUAAAGAUGGUCCAACUCUUGAAAUUCCUCCAACUACAUUCUGGUUUGAAUAUGUUGAGAGUGAAGGUGGACAGCCAGCUUGAGAAACAGUUUUUCAGUGUGGAUCCUUCUCAGCAAGCCAUUCAUUACCCCUGGCCUCGCCUUCUUCAAUCAUCAGCAUCAUCAUCCGCAGCCCAAACCCAGGAAAGUGAUGAGGUUAUUCCAGAAGAGAAGACAACAGUUAAGUCAGAAAGAAAGUGAAAGCAUAAAGAAAAUGUUGCCAAUCUAUCAAAGUGAUGUGAAUCUGGAUAAAUCAAGAAAUAGUGAGUCACAUACAAGAGGAACUAGAGUUGUGAAUAAAUCUUCUUGGAUUACUGUAGCAAGGUAUAUCCAAACCAUGUGGGAAUCAUGUCUGGUUGGUUCUUGAGCUUUUAGGAGACAAUUUAGGGACUCUUCUCAAACAUUAUAGUGAUAAGAUUAAAAGAGAAGGGAGAAUCAGUCGCUCAAAAUUGUGGGAGUGCAGCAAAUGAUGAAGAGGAGAAGUUGGGUGUAGAAGCCCAAGUUGGGCGAACAAAGGCAUCAGGAUUAAGCCAUUAUAGAGAACUAGAGAACUCAGGAGUUCAAGAUAGUUGAUCUUGGUAAUACCCUCCAGCUCCCCAAUCAAUUAAUGGGCGCAGAGAGUCUUCUGCGAUCUCCAUUCUCUACUCCUGCAGAUAUAUGGUCUGUUGCAUGCAUUGCCUUUGAACUUGCCACAGGUGAUUUCUUGUUUAAUCCUAAUGGGAAGAACAGUCGAGACAGGUGAUUUCUUGUUUACUCUGUGUGAUGCCCAAGAGAGUUGCUCUUGGUGGCAAGCAUUCUAAAGAUAUAGGAAGUUACUAUUUCGGUCAAUGAUCAAUGUGCUUCAAGAUAAAUUUGGGUUUGCCAAAAACGAUCCAAAUGAUUUCAGCAAAUGUCAUGUUCUUCUCUUAGAUUUUGCAUCAGAAAAGCAACCCACUGCGAUGCAAGCCAAUCUUCACCCCUAGCUUCGUGGUGGCCCUCGCCUUCUUCAAGCAUCAUUAUCCGCAGCCCAAACCCAGCAAAGUGAUGAGGUUAUUCCAAAAUAGAAGACACUAGUUUAGUAAGAAAGAUUAUGAAAGCAUGAAGAAUGUCAGCCUGUCUAAGUGACGUGCAGUGGAUAAAUCAAGAAAUGGUGUAGAAUUCUGUAAAGCAAAAAGCCAUGAUUCCUGUUUGAGCCCUGUUUUCUGUGAAAUUUCUGUCAUACAAGAGAAACUGUAGCAACGUAUAAGAAUCUGUGGGUGAAAAUGUGAAUUUAAAUGUAGAAGCAUUCCCCACGUUGUAAACUUCAGUCAUGCACAGAGACUUUCAAUAUUAAAUAUUUUUUCAAUGUUAUAUGCAAUAGGUUCUGACUAUUUUAA